rnacentral:ncRNA from 2 species
AGACUUUCACCCUGUUUUGGUGCUCGCGUGCGAGGUUCUUUCGCACGCAGUUAAACGGGAAGCAAAAGGCGCGUCGUGUGAACCAUGUCGCGCCGAACUGCGCUGCUCCUGCAACGGUGAAUGAUCCGCCGCCAUCGUACGAAUGUGUACGCAUGCUGCAAGCCUGUUCAAGGCCAUUGCGCGUGGAUUACGUGGGAAGGCGAGCCGGCCCGAUCGUCAGCCCGGAUACCGGCCAGACCAUGAGCGGGAUC